rnacentral:lncRNA from 1 species
AUUACUGACUACUUUAAUUUUGUAAAACAGCCAAGAUAUUUUAAGGGGUGAUUUGAAGGAAGUGUUGCAAAUCCUAUAUGUGAGUGUUUACAUGAGAGAAGCUCUUUAAGGAACACAGUUGGAAAGUGAUGAAACCAUGAUAAUUGAAUUUAUUCUUCAAAAAGCAGUAAAGUAGAAAAAUACUUAGAAUGUGUUCUUCCAUUGUUCAUCCUUAGAAAUGCCCUACUUACCAAUUAAUGAAAGCAGAGUUAUGCUUUUCCUUUUUGGUGCUUUUUUUUUUUUUUUUUUUUUUUAAAAGCCUAGUGUGUCUGGGAACUCAUUAUAUUAGCCUACCCAGAUUGGCUCUUAAACUCACAAUUUUCCUGCCUCGUCCUACUGGAUGCUGAAGAUUACAGGUAUGAAUCACAAGAGGUAGCGGCUUAUAAACAAAUACCACAAUAUGGGUAAGGGAAAGAGGGGCUUUAUUUAUAUGGAUUUUACUGAAAUGGGCCAAACAGAAAGACUGAAUGAAGUUUCCUGCUUCUCAGCAAAACAGGAGAACCAUCCUUAAAUAAGACAUAUGGAAGUAUCCUGCUUGAGUGCCUGUGUUUGGGAAGGAGGUGGGAGCAGAUGGUACAGGCAGGUUUCUUGGCUGCUUGCUUGGUCAGGGUUUUGGAGAUGGUAGAACUUCUAUGGUAGGUUCUGUGGAAGAGUGGAUAUGUGUUGUUUGCUUUGUACAUGCCUGCCUAAAAGGUGAAUGAGCAAGCAUAGGGUGAAGAUACUGCUCUGUUGGGUAGUAUGGGAGUAAGG